GAUGAACGCUGACAGAAUGCUUAACACAUGCAAGUCGAUGGGGAAGUGGUGCUUGCACCAUGGUAACCAUGGCGGACGGGUGAGUGACGCGUAAGGAACUUACCUGCGGGACCGGGAUAACAGCAGGAAACUGCUGACAAGACCGGAUAAGGUCAUUAAGCUGCAUAGCUUAGUGAUGAAAGGAGACGCCUGCGGAGAGCCUUGCGUCCUAUUAGCUAGUUGGAGGGGUAACGGCCCACCAAGGCGAAGAUAGGUAGCCGGCCUGAGAGGGUGGACGGCCACAAGGGGACUGAGAUACGGCCCUGACUCCUACGGGAGGCAGCAGUGGGGAAUAUUGGACAAUGGGGGCAACCCUGAUCCAGCAAUUCUGUGUGCACGAAGACGGUUUUCGGAGUGUAAAGUGCUUUCAGCAGGGAAGAAGGAAGUGACGGUACCUGCAGAAGAAGCGACGGCUAAAUACGUG
rnacentral:rRNA from 1 species